CACAGCUUGAACCAGUGAUUGAGCAUGUGAUAGGAAGACGGGGCCAACCCAGGGGAGCUCAAAUACUUCCCCUGGAAGAGGAAGGAAGGUGGUAGAAACAGGAUCCACCCCUUCCCAGACCUCAUUUUAGGGUUGACAGUGGCGGUGAGAGUUUCUCAUCUGGAGAUGCCUGUUUAUUCUGAGGACCUUACAGGCCUUCUGAAGGAUAGGAAGCUUCUGUCAUGCACAGUGCCAGCUUACAGGCUAGCUGAUAGGUAAGCAGACCUUUCCCACUUCGUUAUAAGAGAAGUACCUGUGUGGAGACGAUGGAAGUGGAAGGACCCUGUCAGAUUCCUUACAGUUUGGGAAGAGAGAUGAUGAAACCAGGAAUUCUGAUGCAUUCUGAUGCAUCUGAUGCAUCUGUCACUGAAAACAUGUUCCAAGUAAGCUGUAAGAUCUUUCAGUGGAGAAGUUAGUACUGUACUGCAGAUGCUUAUUCAGAACAAACAAAAUUGCACCAAUAGUAUUUCUAUGGAAAAAGAAUCAUCUUAGGAGGUGACCACAGCCACAACUCACAACACAACAGCUUUUGCUUUUCGUACUCCAGGAAAGGAGAGCCAGAAACUCUGUUGAAUCACUGUGAGUCUCUCUGAGAAGAACUUAAAUGCUAUACUGAUGAGUGCUCUGUAAAAUUCUUGAGAGAGCUUAAAUUUGCUUGUUGUUUUAUUUUUAUUUUUUUUCCUGUCUCUGUUUUCUUGUUUUCAUGAAGUGUAAUGAAAUAAGAACUAUAUACCAUGCAUGAUGACUUCCUUUGCAUUUUCUAAUGUAAGGCAGUGUUGAACAAGGUAGUAUCAAAAUGUAAGCAUCCCAUUUCUUUUCUCUGUGUAGGUCAACUUAUUCGUUGUUUGCAAGAACUCUGUUCACUAUGUAUUCCUCACAAAAUGCUAUUUACAUCUGAACGUAAUUAAGAGAAUAGUAAAGCAAGUAUCUAGAGUGUAUGAGGCAGGAAGGCAUGAAAUAAUGAAUAAAUUUAAUUUUACCUAUUUUUAUCAAGUAAUUGAGAUUUAUCAAGAAAUUGAGAUUUCUUUCUUUUAGUAUGACAUGUAGAGAUGCCGAAUCUGUCCCUUGUUCAGGAAAGAAACUUAUUAAAUCUUAAUGUAUCACAGAGUUUAUUUUUCUACUUCAUAUAGUGUUUCUAAAGUGUUUGAAUGGCUUAUUUUUAUAUCAGUGAAAUUAUGCUCUAUAUGGUAAAGCAAUCAGAUGUUGAAGUGUACUCUUGAGUACACACAUACUGGCUCUGCAGGGGUUGGUGGAAGUUUCAUAUACAAAUACAGUAAAUGUAUUUAGUUCACAGUAUGUAAAUGGACUGCUGAGAAGACUUUUGUGUUGCACCCUGGUGCUCUUUAAUGUAUGCAUGCUGUGAUGCUCAUUUGUUGUGCCAUAGUCCUAUUGUAUCUCAGAGGGUUUUUCAGUGGCCUUCAUCUGAAGAUAAAGAAAAGCAGAAUAUGCAAAAUAAAUGUGAUGGGAGGUUUUAAAAAUGGCUAAGAAAUUAAGUAAUCAGUAUUUCACCUGCUGUACUAAGUGGAUGCUGCUAUUAGUAAGCACUAGAGGAUAGGUUUUCAGUGUAUAAAAACUCAGAACAGCAGAAAGCUUUGAUAAUGAUGCGAAUUGCAUGUUUAAUUCUCUGCAUGCCUUCCUGAGAAUUAGCUAGUAGCUGUAUGGGACUUAAGAUCAGCUAAAGCUGUCUUCAGCUCAAAGUUUUCAUUUCCCAACGUUGCAAAUACUUUUUUGUUUGGCUUGUAAAUCCACAGACGCUCUGCUCUGUUAUUAUACAUGCAAAUUGACUCUAACUGGAUCAUUUUGCGUCAGUCUGAGCUGAUGAGAAAAGCCCCACACUAACCAUAACCAUAUGUUAUACUAUCUUUGCAAAGGGAGCAAUGGGAUACUUUGUAUCUUCUCACGGCUAAGGCAAGG
ensembl:lncRNA